GACGAACGCUGGCGGCGUGCUUAACACAUGCAAGUCGAACGGAAAGGCCCUGCUUUUGUGGGGUGCUCGAGUGGCGAACGGGUGAGUAACACGUGAGUAACCUGCCCUUGACUUUGGGAUAACUUCAGGAAACUGGGGCUAAUACCGGAUAGGAGCUCCUGCUGCAUGGUGGGGGUUGGAAAGUUUCGGCGGUGGGGGAUGGACUCGGGGGUUAUCAGCUUGUUGGUUGGGUAGUGGCUUACCAAGGCUUUGACGGGUAGCCGGCAUGGGAGGGUGAACGGCGUCCUGGGGCCUACGGGAGGGAGCAGACGCCAACGGGAGGCAGCAGUGGGAAAUAUUGCACAAUGAGCGGGAGCCUGAUGCGGAGGCGCCGGGUGCGGGAUGACGGCCUUCUGGUGAUAAACCGCUUUCGGCUGUGACGUAGCGUGUGUGACGGUAAUAGGUAAAGAAGCACCGGCUAACUACGUG
rnacentral:rRNA from 1 species